GAUGAACGCUGGCGGCGUGCCUAAUACAUGCAAGUCGAGCGAACAGACGAGGAGCUUGCUCCUCUGACGUUAGCGGCGGACGGGUGAGUAACACGUGGAUAACCUACCUAUAAGACUGGGAUAACUUCGGGAAACCGGAGCUAAUACCGGAUAAUAUAUUGAACCGCAUGGUUCAAUAGUGAAAGACGGUUUUGCUGUCACUUAUAGAUGGAUCCGCGCCGCAUUAGCUAGUUGGUAAGGUAACGGCUUACCAAGGCAACGAUGCGUAGCCGACCUGAGAGGGGGACCGCCCACACUGGAACGGAGACACGGCCCAGACUCCUACGGGAGGCAGCAGUAGGGAUUCUUCCGCAAGGGCCGAAGCCUGACGGAGCAACGCCGCGUGAGUGAUGAAGGUCUUCGGAUCGUAAAACUCUGUUAUUAGGGAAGAACAAAUGUGUAAGUAACGAUGCACGUCUUGACGGUACCUAAUCAGAAAGCCACGACUAACUACGU
rnacentral:rRNA from 1 species